UACAGAGGUCUCAAGCGUUGUUCGGAUUCAUUGGGCGUAAAGGGUGUGUAGGUGGCGCGCUAAGUCGGGUGUGAAAUUUCGGAGCUUAACUCCGAAACUGCAUUCGAUACUGGCGUGCUUGAGGACUGGAGAGGAGACUGGAAUUCAUGGUGUAGCAGUGAAAUGCGUAGAGAUCAUGAGGAAGACCAGUGGCGAAGGCGAGUCUCUGGACAGUUCCUGACACUGAGGCACGAAGGCCAGGGGAGCAAACGGG
rnacentral:rRNA from 1 species